AAUUCUGGAACCGUGGGGGUGGGGGUGUGGGUGUGGACGGCUCAGGCAGGGAGGACAUGUUUUGUCUGUUCACUAUGUCUUCCCUUCUCUGUCAGCCCAGUUCCACACCAGCCUCAGUGCUCAGGGCAUGGUGUCCUGAGAGCAGAAGUUCUCAACCUUGUUUGACAACACAUUGAUGAGAGAUGACACUAAUCUGUGUUUUUGCUCAAAUGUCCCAUCCUUGGCUCAGUUGUUCCUGGACCAGGUUGCCCACCCAACGGUUUUCCUGUCUCUAGUCCCUCCCACUGAGGACCCACCUCACAGGAAGAAAACCGUCUGACUCAUAAAGGGAUCCGACCAAGGCUAUGUUCAUCCUCUGCUCAGCACCUCAUCUGAGCCAGGACAAGAAGAGAAGGAAACGAGCGUUUGCUGGGCUCCAUCACAUGCCAGGCAGGCGCCAAGCUAUCAGAUGGGGUGGGGCGGGCCCCCAAUCUGUUUCUGAUCAGGUCCUUCUGGCUUUAUCUUUCUUUUUUUCUUUUUUCAGUUGUUUUUGGCCAGGCGCGGUGGCUCAUGCCUGUAAUCCCAGCACUUUGGGAGGCCGAGAUGGGUGAAUCAUUUGAGGUCAGGAGUUCGAGACCAGCCUGGCCAACAUGGUGAAACCCCACUUCUACUAAAAAUAGAAAAAUUAGCUGGGCAUGGUGGGCACCUGUAGUCCCAGCUACUCAGGAGGCUGAAGCAGGAGAAGCGCUUGAACCUGGGAGGCGGAGGUUGCAGUGAGCGGAGAUCACACCACUGCACUCCAGCCCGUGAGACAGAGAGAGACCCUGUCAAAAAAAAAACAAAAAAAGUUUUCUUUUGCUCUCUCAUAUUUUUCUAAAUCUCUCUCCACUUCCCUGAGUCAGAGGUUUCCCAGACUGGCAACUGGAUCAGCCCCAGAGAAAGCCAGGAUUGCUCACUGCUGGGGAAAGGGCUUCACAGAGACUACGAUAUUGUGGUGCCACUCCCUUUGCUGCGAUCUUCCUGAAGAGAGACAGUGGUUCCUGCCUAGUCUUUAUUGUAAUACAGAUAACAAUAGAAGCAGGUGCCAUUUCCUGAGUGCCCUACUGCGUGGCAGGCUAUUGAGGUAUUUAACUGCAUUCGUUAAAUUUUAUCCCACAACAAUCCUACAGGUGGGUCUUAUUAUUUCCAUUCUACACGUGAAGAGUCUGAGGCUCAGAGGUCAGCCUGCCAAAGUCACACACACAGCUGGGGAGCUUGCUGGACUCCACAGGCCACACAUCUUCCAUGAGAGCACACUGCCUCUUUGAAAAUAAAGCUGCAGAGCAAAAACACUAACAUUUUA